rnacentral:rRNA from 1 species
UACCAGCACCCCGAGUGGUCGGGACGUUUUAUUGGGCCUAAAGCAUCCGUAGCCGGUUCUACAAGUCUUCCGUUAAAUCCAACUGCUUAACAGGUGGGCUGCGGAAGAUACUAUAGAGCUAGGAGGCGGGAGAGGCAAGCGGUACUCGAUGGGUAGGGGUAAAAUCCGUUGAUCCAUUGAAGACCACCAGUGGCGAAGGCGGCUUGCCAGAACGCGCUCGACGGUGAGGGAUGAAAGCUGGGGGGAGCAAACCAGG